rnacentral:rRNA from 1 species
AGCGAACGCUGGCGGCAGGCUUAACACAUGCAAGUCGAACGCCCCGCAAGGGGAGUGGCAGACGGGUGAGUAACACGUGGGAACGUACCCUUUGGUUCGGAAUAACUUGGGGAAACUCAAGCUAAUACCGGAUAAGCCCUUAUGGGGAAAGGUUUACUGCCGAAGGAUCGGCCCGCGUCUGAUUAGCUAGUUGGUGGGGUAAUGGCUCACCAAGGCGACGAUCAGUAGCUGGUCUGAGAGGAUGAUCAGCCACACUGGGACUGAGACACGGCCCAGACUCCUACGGGAGGCAGCAGUGGGGAAUAUUGGACAAUGGGGGCAACCCUGAUCCAGCCAUGCCGCGUGAGUGAUGAAGGCCUUAGGGUUGUAAAGCUCUUUUACCCGGGACGAUAAUGACUGUACCGGGAGAAUAAGCCCCGGCUAACUUCGUGCCAGCCGCCGCCGUAAAAC